AUGGGCAGACAGAGAUGUGACAAGAUGGUGACUGACUCUAUUUCUGUUUUCUUGCAAACCAGGCUAGGCAGUAGUCAAGUUGUUCCGGUGUCAUUCCUAGGAAGGAAGAAGAUUCUUUGGUUUGUCUGAAUGGCCAGGGAGUCUGCGGCUGGAUUCAGAAAGCCAUCCACAGCAAGAGAGUGGAGAUGUUCUAUCUCUCUUCAAGAUUAUCCUGGGAGAGAAGGAAAAGAAUUUGUUACUCGGGAGACUGCAUUAUUUAACACCAACCUGUUCCUUUUCGGUCCAACCUAAGAUGGCUGCAAUACUACAAAUGUGCCAGCAGAUGACGCUACAGGCUACAAUAUUCUAUGUCUGACUUUUACUUGAAAUUUCCUCAUUUGGGCAUUCUGCAGACUCCUUAGAAUUCCUGCAAAUAUUUGGGGAGAAUCCAAGAGAAAAGUGAAAAAAAAUUUAAAAAUCAUACUAUAACAGUGGUAGAAAAUUUAAAGUUAUAUGACUAGUAAUAAACACAAAACUUAGUUGAAAUCCGUUUUUAACCGGGGAAAAGGAGGGUGAUUUUGUGCUAAGCUGCCCAGGUAGCAGCAGAGUUUUGCUGCUCCGUGUGGCCCUCACCUUCAUUCUGUUCAGCAAAGCCUUGCACUGCAUCACAGAUGGGACUCUGAGGAAUGGAAGAACGAACUUGAGAUCCAGAGGACGUUGCUUAGCUGUGAUAUCCUGGACUCAUCAUUUAACCUCCUCGGGCUUUGAAUAAUAACACCCAUCAUGCCCUGCUGUGAAGACGAGAAAGAGACAAGGGGUGAAAACAAAGAUUAGCGGUCACCAUUAACUAUCAUUCUUUCUUGCUCAGUUAGAAACAUUUGAAAAACACUGACCAGUUUAAGUUUUUCUAAAAAAAAAAGGAACUGGGGACUUCAGAGGCUGUGUGAUUGGGUUCUCAAAUCAAGUUUCACAAUUUCACAAUACAAUACAAUUAUUUAUGUGAAACCAGACACUCCACUCCUAAUCUUUUACAGGUGCACCUUGCUCCCCCCACUUAGGGGGAACUUGAUAUUUCUUCUUUGAGUUUAAGAAACUCAUGUAAUGCAAAACAAUCCUUUUUUUAAUCGCUUAUUGUACAGAACAGUUCCCUUUAGUUUUAAAUGUCGUAUUUGUUUGUUCUAUCUAUAAAAGUAAUCCAGAACAAAUUUGUUAAAUUUCGCCGUGAUGUACUGUAUGCAAGGAUUCUAUUAGUGUGGUUGAAGCAGUUUAAUCAGUAAAUACAGAUGUUGGCAGAACUUUCCAGUCAGGGAGCCAAUUUACCUGAUUUGAUGAUUAGAAAAAUAUUUUGGUUAGAGAAGUUCCCGUUUACUGAAUAGCUGAGCAGGCUACCAAGGACAGGCUUCCAAGAAGUAGCAUUGUGUGGGAUGAGGCCUUAUGGUACUGUCUGCUUUCAUUAUUAGACGGGUCGCUCAGUUUUGUGGGUCCACCCUCAUUUAGUUUUAUCUCUCUACUGAUUACAAAGAAAAGGCUUACCAUGUAGAUAUGCAACCCUUGCUGAUUUUGAAUUCGUGAUUCUCCUGCCUCAGCCUCUCAAGGGCUGGGAUUACAGGUAUAAUGUGGCUAUGACAUGCAAUUUUACAGUGAUGGAAUCCCACCCCAAUUCCAUGAGCUCUAAUCACAGGAAAAUCUCUAGAUUCUGGAGACAACAACCCAAGGGAUGAUUGGUUGAUUGGAUCUCAGAUGUUCUGGCUAUUUUGAAGGUUUCCAUAGAGAGAGGCUAUCAUAAGAAUCACCGGCCCCAAAACUUUUGACAAAGUGACUUCCCUGAGGUCCUAGAGACCGCUAUUGCUUCUUCUACCGGCAGGGGGCGCAGCAAGUGUUUCCUUUCAGGAUACAAGGGGCACACACAUUAACUUGUGGUCUAGGAAUCAAAGACUUUCAUGAAGACGUUUGAAAUAAUUUUAAGUAAAAGAAGUAUAAUAACAAAUGUGCAAACACGAAUCCAGCCUAGAUUAAUUUGGUUUUGUACUAACACGUAACUGAAUUAGAAUAAUAGUUUUUGUUAAAGGAGGAAGGGAACUACCAAUACCGAAGGGUCUCAGGUCCAUGAACAGCAUAACGAAUUCCAAGUCACACCUCCAUACUCAGAGUUCUAAAUUCACUGUAAAAGGUAGGGGAUGCAGAGAAUGCGGGAAGGGGGGGAGGAAUUCCUGCCUUCUCCAGAGACCAGACACUCUUCUCUAAACCUGGGCUCUGGACAGCUAUAAGGAGGGGCCUGGACGAUCCACAUUGUUUUAAAUUGUUUAGCCCAAACUGAUGGGCCAAAUAAAGAUCUUUCUGACCUUAA